CUCUGUUAUACGCUCAGACACGUUACUGGGAGUAUUAUUGCUGUGGAGCUCUGUUAUACACUCAGACACAUUACUGGGAGUAUUAUUACUGUGGAGCUCUGUUAUACACUCAGACACAUUACUGGGAGUAUUAUUGCUGUGGAGCUCUGUUAUAUACUCAGACACAUUACUGGGAGUAUUAUUGCUGUGGAGCUCUGUUAUAUACUCAGACACAUUACUGG